rnacentral:rRNA from 1 species
UACAGAGGUCUCAAGCGUUGUUCGGAUUCAUUGGGCGUAAAGGGUGCGUAGGCGGCGCGGUAAGUCGGGUGUGAAAUCUCGGGGCUUAACUCCGAAACUGCAUUCGAUACUGCCGUGCUUGAGGACUGGAGAGGAGACUGGAAUUUACGGUGUAGCGGUGAAAUGCGUAGAUAUCCGAAAGAACACCGGUGGCGAAGGCGGUGGUCUGGGCCUGAACUGACGCUGAGGAGCGAAAGCCAGGGGAGCAAACGGG